GGCACUGGUAAUGGUACUCCUGGUUUACUGGGAUGGGGUUCAAUUCCCUGCAGUGCC
ensembl:sRNA